CUUUCAUUGACACGUUUGCAAUGACAUCCAUAUGGAAUGGGAAGAUUCUGCGACUCAAGAUAAAACCAAUGGAAUAUGGUGUAAUUCUGGGAAUUGUGAACAAGCAUCAUCACUGGAUGUUAGUGGUAAUCUACCCACAAGACAAGCGGUCGGUGUUUCUGGAUCCUUUAGGAGAGAGUAAACAGGACAUACAGACAUGUCGGGCUACUACAAGG